ACGUAGGGGGCAAGCGUUGUCCGGAAUGAUUGGGCGUAAAGGGCGCGUAGGCGGCCUGGUAAGUCUGGAGUGAAAGUCCUGCUUUUAAGGUGGGAAUUGCUUUGGAUACUGUCGGGCUUGAGUGCAGGAGAGGUAAGUGGAAUUCCCGGUGUAGCGGUUACAUGCGUAGAGAUCGGGAGGAACCCCAUUGGCGAAGGCUACUAACAGGACUGUAACUGACGCUGAGGCGCGAAAGUGUGGUGAGCAAAAAG
rnacentral:rRNA from 1 species